rnacentral:tRNA from 1 species
GCCAGGGUAGCUCAGUGGUCAGAGCAGCGGAUUCAUAACCCGCAGGCCGUGGGUUCAAGUCCCACCCCUGGUA